AGAGUUUGAUCCUGGCUCAGAUUGAACGCUGGCGGCAUGCUUUACACAUGCAAGUCGAACGGCAGCACGGGCUUCGGCCUGGUGGCGAGUGGCGAACGGGUGAGUAAUGCGUCGGAACGCGCCGAGUAGUGGGGGAUAACGCAGCGAAAGCUGUGCUAAUACCGCAUACGUACUGAGGUAGAAAGUGGGGGACCUUCGGGCCUCACGCUAUUCGAGCGGCCGACGUCUGAUUAGCUAGUUGGUGGGGUAAAGGCUCACCAAGGCGACGAUCAGUAGCGGGUCUGAGAGGAUGAUCCGCCACACUGGGACUGAGACACGGCCCAGACUCCUACGGGAGGCAGCAGUGGGGAAUUUUGGACAAUGGGCGCAAGCCUGAUCCAGCCAUGCCGCGUGUCUGAAGAAGGCCUU
rnacentral:rRNA from 1 species